rnacentral:rRNA from 1 species
GAUGAACGCUGACAGCAUGCUUAACACAUGCAAGUCAACUUGAAGAUGGGUUUUUACCUCAGGUUUGGGUGGCGGACGGGUGAGUAACGCGUAAAGAACUUGCCUCACAGCUAGGGACAACAUUUGGAAACGAAUGCUAAUACCUAAUAUUAUGAUAAUAGGGCAUCCUAUAAUUAUGAAAGCUAUAAGCGCUGUAAGAGAGAUUUGCGACAAACUAGCUAGUUGGAGAGGUAACGGCACACCAAGGCGAGGAUGAGUAGCCGGCCUGAGAGGGUGAUCGGCCACAGGCGCACACGGGCGCGGCCCUUACUGAAUCUUGAGGCAGGAGCGAAGACUAUUGGACGACGGACCGAGAGUCUGAACCAGCAAUUCUGUUUGCACGAUGAAUUUUUUUGGGAUGUAAAGUGCUAUCAGUAGAGAAGAAUCAUAUGACGUUACCAACAGAAGAAGCGACGGCUAACUACGUG